rnacentral:rRNA from 1 species
GAUCAACUCGUGAAUCUGUUUGAAUACGUUGGGAUGGCUCGGUGUUCAACUCCUCGUCCACCCUUGGGUUGGCAGGGGCAGCCACGUUGUGCGCUCCCCUCCCAACAAACCCAAACCCCGGCACUGAAUGUGCCAAGGAACUAAAAUUGGUUCAGUGCGCCCCUCUGGGACCGGAGACGGUGCCCUUGCGGGAGUGUGAUGCAUGGUAUAUAUAAACGACUCUCGGCAACGGAUAUCUAGGCUCUUGCAUCGAUGAAGAACGUAGCGAAAUGCGAUACUUGGUGUGAAUUGCAGAAUCCCGUGAACCAUCGAGUUUUUGAACGCAAGUUGCGCCCGAAGCCAUUAGGUUGAGGGCACGUCUGCCUGGGCGUCACAUAUCGUUGCCCAAUGCCUAUUGAUAGUGUGUAGGGCGAAUGGUGGCUUCCCGUGAGCAUUGUUGUCUCAUGGUUGGCUGAAAACUGAGUCCUUGGUAGGGUGUGUGCCAUGAUAGAUGGUGGCUGUGUGACCCACGAGACCGAUCAUGUGCAGCUCUACCAGAUUUGGCCUCUAUGACCCACUAGCGUCCUUGGAAGCUCAUGA